rnacentral:lncRNA from 1 species
UGCGAUAAAAGCGUUUCUAUAUCAAAAGGCUAUCUCUGUAAUGGUCCUCAAAAGUUAUGCCAGUCCUUUAUAACCUUCCGAUCUCAGCCACCUUUCAACACACCCGUCAGUAUUGCGUAUCUUUUAGGUUCCGAAGCCUCCAGUAUAACCUUAAUUAAUAAAUUUUCAUCUUCUGAUGAAAAAAUACCUUCGGACAAAUUAGUAAUAGUUCCUGUUUCGUGUUCGUGUUCCGGCAGUCUGUACCAGCAUAACGCUCCUUACACCAUUAAAGCCAAUGAUGAUACGUAUUUUACGUUAGCAAACAACACUUACCAGGGCUUGACAACUUGCCAGGCUCUCCUCGGACAGAAUUACUACGACGGACAAGAUCUUGGUUCAGGUUUGGAGGUGAUAGUGCCCCUAAGAUGUGCUUGUGCGACUGCAAACCAGACAGAAAAUGGAGUGAGCUAUUUGCUGGCUUAUAUGGUAACAUGGGGUGAUAGUAUUUCAUCCAUAGGAAAUGAAUUUGGUGCUGACAAACAAAGCAUUUUGGACGCAAACAAGCUGUCAGAAGAUGACUUGAUUUUCACCUUUACACCUCUUUUGAUUCCACUCAAAAGCGAAAGUUGCUCUGCAAAUCCAGAGAAAUUCUUUUGCCAGUGUAAGAAUGGUUUCCUUGUAGAUGAAAUGUUGAAAGGUCUCCACUGCAAACCAAAUGGCAAAACAUUUCCAGUCAAAUUGGUUACUUUAUUAGGUAAGACUCUUGCUGAUAAAUUCAAUUAAUGGAUGAAAUACAAUCAUGAUAGGCACUGAUAAAUAUUUAUUUUCUAAAAUGUUUCAGGCCUGGGGAUUGGUUUGGGAUUUUUGAGUUUGGUUCUUCUGGGAUGCUAUUUAUACAAAGUCAUAAGGGAAAAAAGAAGCAGAAUGCUUAAAGAGAAGUUGUUCAAGCAAAAUGGAGGCUACUUGCUGCAACAACGAUUAUCAUCCUGUGGAAGUAGCGAAAAAGCUAAAAUUUUUACAGCAGAGGAGCUUCAAAGAGCAACAGACAAUUACAACCAAAGCCGGUUUCUUGGCCAAGGAGGAUUUGGCACUGUGUACAAAGGGAUGCUCCCUGAUGGCAGCAUAGUUGCUGUCAAAAGGUCGAAAGCAAUUGAUAAAACACAAAUCGAACAAUUCAUUAACGAAGUUGUCAUUCUCUCUCAGAUCAACCAUCGACAUAUUGUUAAGCUUCUGGGUUGUUGUUUAGAGACUGAAGUACCGGUACUAGUAUACGAGUACAUCUCUAAUGGAAAUCUUUCCCACCACAUUCAUGAUCACCAGCAACAGCAAGAACAGAAACAAGAGCUGGAAGAGGAGCAGGAAUUGUCUUCACUUUCAUGGGAGAAUCGAGUUAGGGUAGCGUGUGAAGUUGCAGGAGCAGUAGCAUAUAUGCAUUCUGCAGCCUCGAUCCCCAUCUUUCACCGCGACAUCAAAUCUUCCAACAUACUCUUGGAUGAUAAAUUUAGCGCAAAAGUUUCUGAUUUUGGUACUUCAAGGUCUGUACCGAAUGAUAAGACUCAUUUAACAACAGCAGUUCAAGGAACCUUUGGAUACUUCGAUCCUGAGUACUUUCAAUCAAGUCAAUACACGGAUAAAAGCGAUGUCUAUAGCUUUGGGGUUGUACUAUUAGAGCUUCUAACCGGUAAAAAACCAAUCUGUUUAACCAGAGAGGAAGAAGAAAGAAAUUUAGUUGCGUACUUCAUUUCAUUAGCAAAGGAGAACAAACUGCUUGAGAUUUUAGAUGCUAGAGUAGCUAAAGAAGCAAGAGAAGAAGAUAUUGAAGCCGUAGCAGAGCUUGCAAUGGGAUGCUUGAGAUUAAAUAGUAAAAAAAGGCCUACGAUGAAACAAGUGUCCAUGGAUCUUGAAGGGUUGAGAAGGUCGCAGAGAUGCUUAGAAAUAUGCAAAGUGAAUCAACUGCUGACAAAUGAGUUAUCAUUAGCAGAAAAUUCGGUAUUUUCCGUGCCAGAGGAUUCAGAAUCAUUUUGUUCAUCAAUUUGAUGCGUGGCUACCAUUUUUCUGUUUGUCAUAUUUAAUUGUAAGAAAUACUCUGUACGUUGCAGAAACAUAAAAUAAAGUCCAUGCACCAAGCAAUUGUCAAAAACACCUACAACUUGUAGUAAUAGACCUCUUUUCCAAGCAAUUUUCAGAGUUUCUUCGCUUUGAAAUACAAUACCAACACUUCUUUAUGUUGGUUAAAUUUCUUGUGUGAAAGUUGAAGCAAACCGGAAAAUCGAAAUGAAGUUAUGCGUUAAGACUAAUAUGAUAGGGUUUCUAGUUUGGAUCAAGAUUCUCUCAUAAUUUAAUUUUCUCCAAAGUAAAAUUUACUCAAGUAAUUGGAGAUUAAUAAAUUAAAAAUAAGAGUGAUUAAAUAUUAAUCAUUAACUAAUACUAAAAAAAUAGAUAGUACCAUAUCUUUAAAAGUUUAACUUAGCUCAAAUUAGAAAAGAAUCCUAAUCCCCUUAGCUUAGACAAUUCAAACUUGUACUAAGACAUUAUUUUUUUCAGGGUUAUUUUUAAGGACCUCCCCUGAGGUUUAGUGAAUUAACACCUUGAUAAAAUGUAUUGAUAUAAUUACAAAAACCUCCCCUGCCGUUAAUUAGUCGUUAAAUUUACUGUUAGUAGACUGUCAAAAUUACUAAAAUACCCUUCUCCCCAAAAUAAUAAAUUAUUAAAUGUAGCUUUGAGAAUUUAUGGGUGAUAGGUUUGGCCGGCUGCUGCUUCCACCGAUUAACCGGGUUUUCAACCACUGCUUUUGCUGCCUGCCAUCUUCCAUGUCGCCCUCCUUUGGCUUGGCUUAUACACUUUCAACGCCAUCCUAUCUUUCUUUCUACCUUGUUCCCUUCCUUUCUUUCUCUGCUACCUAGCUCUAUGCUUUCGAAACCAACCCGUGUCCUCCAGAUGGCUGCAAAGGAUCCGAAAGCUGGUGCCUAUCUAAAAGACAAAGAGAUGCGAAGCCAGUCAAUUGUUCUUGCUUUCAGGAGAUUUCACGGUCUUGUAGCCGUAGCUAGAUUUGGACUCUAACAAAUUGUUUGAAAACCCAGUUCAACAAAGCAAUUAACUGCGUCAGAAUCAACAAAUUGUUUGAAAACCCAGUGCAACAAAAUGCCUAUUGGUGGUGUGUUGGGCUUAAAAAGGUUCCGUUUGCAGUGAAGCACCACCAACGGACUUUGACAAGAUGGCGACAACGAGAUCUCAUGAGUUUGAAUGUGGUUGCAAGUGUGGGAUGAAAAAAUUGUGGGUUUUGUGGCUGUUGAAAUGUUUAUUGAGGUCAGGACUUCAUGGGGGUUGGUUGAGGGGAUAGACGGCGACGAAAUGGAACCAUCACUGAUGGCAGAAAUUACGGCAGUGGUAUGCGGCGUGACCAGCCGUGAGCUAUAGUUUAGAGAGCUGUGUGUGGUUAAGUUUUGGGAUGUCAAAGGUUGCUGCAUGGUAUCAGGAUGGCUCAAGGGUGAUAGUGGUUGGGUGACAUCAGCAACGGCUAAAGGGGUGCUGCCGAUGUGGGGGCUGUUGUGAGACAAAAGCCAUCUUUUUGGGUUAAUGCGUGGUGGUGGAUGCGGUUGAUUCAGAGGCUUCCGUGACUGGGGUUGGUAACCAGGGUGAAGAGGGGACUUCGGCAGUGGCAAAGCACCACUAUUGGCUGCCGGUGGAGUCAUGGCCAACUGAUUAAGUUCGGUCAACAGCGGGCAAGUCGUUCAAAAUAUCAUUGAUCUAGUAAAAACAUAUUUUAAAUUUUAAAUAUAAUUUUACAAAUUUACCCCUGUAUACUGAUGCCAUACGUAUUUUUAUACUAACGGCAUGGGAAGUUUCUGUAAUUAUAUCAAUACAUUCUAUCUAGGUGUUAAUACACUAAAUCUCAACGAGGUCUUUAAAAAUAACCCUAUUUUUUUAAUCAGGAGAAAGGCUACCAAAUAAAAUAAGAUAGAAGCCACUUUAUGUCAAUUUGAGUGUCUAGAGAACACUUGCAAAUUUGAAUGCGCUUGAAGAUUGAAUAACUAUCAUCAGAGGUAUAACCUAUACCCUAUUUAAUUUUAAAAUAAUAAUAAAGAUAGAAGUGUAUGAGGUUUGAAGGUCUUCUCAGCAACCAAUAAGAAUUUUUUAAAAGUGAUCUCCACUCUCUCUAGUCAGAUCUGUAACUACCAACAAUAGAAAGAUCAAUAAUAAUGACAAUAAUAAACAAAUAAAUAAUUAUUAAAGAAAAAAGAGACAGAAGAAAGAGAUCAAAGGGUACCUCAUAAACAAAAUAGAAGAGGGAUCGAAGAGAGUAGAAGAGGGAUCGAAGAGAGGAGAGACUCUCCGUGCAAGUGGGGGCUUUUUGGGAAUUUAAGAAAAAAAAGGAGGAAUAAGAGAAACGAUAGAAAGUGGUAUUGCAAGUGUGUCGGUCAGUAGGUGUUGACGGGU